UGUCCGAGUUGUAAUCUCGAGAAGUGUUUUCCGUGCUGGACCGCAUAUAAGUCUGUUGGAAUACAGCGUCAUAGUGGUGAGAACCCCGUACGUGAUGCGGAUGCCCAGUGCUUUGUGAUACACUUUCGAAGAGUCGAGUUGUUUGGGAAUGCAGCUCAAAUUGGGUGGUAAAUUCCAUCUAAAGCUAAAUAUUGGCGAGAGACCGAUAGCGAACAAGUACCGUGAGGGAAAGAUGAAAAGCACUUUGGAAAGAGAGUUAACAGUACGUGAAAUUGUUGGAAGGGAAACGCUUGAAGUCAGACUUGCGUAUUGGAGUUCAGCCGCAAGGCGUAUUCUUCAGUUUGCAGGCCAGCAUCAGUUUUUGGGGGUACAAAAGGGUGAGAGGAAUGUAGCAGUCUCGGCUGUGUUAUAGCCUUUCACU
rnacentral:rRNA from 1 species